rnacentral:rRNA from 1 species
CCUACGGGAGGCAGCAGUAGGGAAUAUUGGGCAAUGGGCGCAAGCCUGACCCAGCGACGCCGCGUGAGGGAUGAAGGUCUUCGGAUUGUAAACCUCUUUCAGUAGGGAAGAAGCGAAAGUGACGGUACCUAAAGAAGAAGCACCGGCUAACUAUGUGCCAGCAGCCGCGGUAAUACAUAGGGUGCAAGCGUUGUCCGGAAUUAUUGGGCGUAAAGAGCUCGUAGGUGGUUCGAUACGUCGGAUGUGAAAAUCAGGGGCUCAACCCCUGACCUGCAUCCGAUACGGUCGAGCUAGAGUUUGGUAGGGGAGACUGGAAUUCCUGGUGUAGCGGUGGAAUGCGCAGAUAUCAGGAGGAACACCGAUGGCGAAGGCAGGUCUCUGGGCCAAUACUGACACUGAGGAGCGAAAGCGUGGGGAGCGAACAGGAUUAGAUACCCUGGUAGUCCACGCCGUAAACGGUGGGCGCUAGUUGUGCGAACCUUCCACGGUUUGUGCGACGCAGCUAACGCAUUAAGCGCCCCGCCUGGGGAGUACGAUCGCAAGAUUAAAACUCAAAGGAAUUGACGG